rnacentral:rRNA from 1 species
UGGGGAAUUUUGGACAAUGGGCGAAAGCCUGAUCCAGCAAUGCCGCGUGUGUGAAGAAGGCCUUCGGGUUGUAAAGCACUUUUGUCCGGAAAGAAAUCCUUGGCUCUAAUACAGUCGGGGGAUGACGGUACCGGAAGAAUAAGCACCGGCUAACUACGUGCCAGCAGCCGCGGUAAUACGUAGGGUGCAAGCGUUAAUCGGAAUUACUGGGCGUAAAGCGUGCGCAGGCGGUUUGCUAAGACCGAUGUGAAAUCCCGGGCUCAACCUGGGAACUGCAUUGGUGACUGGCAGGCUAGAGUAUGGCAGAGGGGGGUAGAAUUCCACGUGUAGCAGUGAAAUGCGUAGAGAUGUGGAGGAAUACCGAUGGCGAAGGCAGCCCCCUGGGCCAAUACUGACGCUCAUGCACGAAAGCGUGGGGAGCAAACAGGAUUAGAUACCCUGGUAGUCCAGCACCCUAAAACGAUGUCAACUAGUUGUUGGGGAUUCAUUUCCUUAGUAACGUAGCUAACGCGUGAAGUUGACCGCCUGGGGAGUACGGUCGCAAGAUUAAAACUCAAAUGAAUUGACGGGGUCAUAGCUGUUUCCU